AUGCUGUGUGUGUGAGAUCUGAGCUCAAUUUUCCUCUCAAGUCCUGGUCAUGCUUUUCCACAGCUUUCUUGAACUUCUUAUGCAUCUUAUAUCUCUCCACUUCCAGCAUUUUAAGCCCUAGAAGCUCAAGAAAGCUGUGGGAGAAUAUGGC
rnacentral:pre_miRNA from 1 species